AUACGGAGGAUGCGAGCGUUAUCCGGAUUCAUUGGGUUUAAAGGGUGCGUAGGUGGUUUGAUAAGUCAGCGGUGAAAGUUUGCAGCUUAACUGUAAAAAUGCCGUUGAAACUGUGACUUGAGUGUAAAUGAGGUAGGCGGAAUGCGUGGUGUAGCGGUGAAAUGCUUAGAUAUCACGCAGAACUCCGAUUGCGAAGGCAGCUUACCAAGCUACAACUGACACUGAAGCACGAAAGCGUGGGGAUC
rnacentral:rRNA from 1 species